GCAUCGAUGAAGAACGUAGCGAAAUGCGAUACUUGGUGUGAAUUGCAGAAUCUCGUGAACCAUCGAGUCUUUGAACGCAAGUUGCGCCCGAAGCCAUUAGGUUGAGGGCACGUCUGCCUGGGCGUCAC
rnacentral:rRNA from 1 species